rnacentral:rRNA from 1 species
AUACGGAGGGUGCGAGCGUUGUUCGGAAUCACUGGGCAUAAAGCGCGCGUAGGCGGCGAUGUAAGUCAGCUGUGAAAUCCCCCGGCUCAACCGAGGAACUGCAGCUGAAACUGCAUCGCUAGAGUGUGGGAGGGGAGAACGGAAUUCCUGGUGGAGCGGUGAAAUGCGUAGAUAUCAGGAGGAACGCCGGAGGCGAAAGCGGUUCUCUGGCCCACAACUGACGCUGAGGUGCGAAAGCUAGGGGAGCAAACAGGAUUAGAAACCCCAGUAGUCC